GACCGUGUGACAGUUCCCAGUGGGGGCUUCAAGGGCCAUUGCUGAUCCUGAGGCUAACUUGUGCCACCACCUCGACAAUGGAAAAGCAUGUCCCAUGGGGUCGCUGUGUCCUCAGCCUGGGCCCUGGGAUGGCAGACCCUGGAGCAAACCUGGAUGGAAGCCCAGUCGAGCCCAGAAGAGCCACAGCCAACCCACAGACCGGUGAAGGAAUGGAAGACUUAGAGACACAGAGACCAAACAAAGCAGGAACUCCGGUCUUCUGGCUGCUAGACCACGAGUUUCCAUUUCUGUAAUUCAAGAGGCUCAGAGUUAACAUCCGAACCCUAACGUACCACCAUGUCUUCGGCACCAAUGGGAAAGACAAGUCCUCCCAGGGGCAUGAUGUCCAUAAAUCAAAUCAAAAUAUAAAUCAUCC